GAUGAACGCUGGCGGCGUGCCUAAUACAUGCAAGUCGAACGAAGAUGUAGCAAUACGUCUUAGUGGCGAACGGGUGAGUAACGCGUUGGUGACCUACCCCAAAGUCUGGGAUAACCCCGCGAAAGCGGGGCUAAUACCGGAUGUGGUCAUCGGGAUUAGAAUCCGAUGUCUAAAGGAGCAAUUCGCUUUGGGAGGGGCCUGCGUCCCAUCAGCUAGUUGGUAGGGUAAUGGCCUACCAAGGCGAUGACGGGUAGGGGACCUGAGAGGGUGACCCCCCACACUGGAACUGAAACACGGUCCAGACACCUACGGGUGGCAGCAGUAGGGAAUAUUGCUUAAUGGGCGAAAGCCUGAAGCAGCAACGCCGCGUGUGCGAUGAAGGUCUUCGGAUUGUAAAGCACUUUUAGAGGGGAUGAGGAAGGACAGUACCCUCUGAAUAAGCCUCGGCUAACUACGUGCCAGCAGCCGCGGUAAAACGUAGGAGGCGAGCGUUAUCCGGAUUUACUGGGCGUAAAGCGCGUGUAGGCGGCAUGAUAAGUUGGAUGUGAAAGCUCCUGGCUAAACUGGGAGAGGACGUUCAAUACUGUCAAGCUUGAGGAUGGGAGAGGGAGGUGGAACUCCGGGUGUAGUGGUGAAAUGCGUAGAUAUCCGGAGGAACACCAGUGGCGAAGGCGGCCUCCUGGCCCAUUUCUGACGCUCAGACGCGAAAGCUAGGGUAGCAAACGGGAUUAGAGACCCCGGUAGUCCUAGCUGUAAACUAUGUAGACUUGGCGUUGGUGGGGUAAAAUCCAUCAGUGCCGCAGCAAACGCGAUAAGUCUACCGCCUGGGGACUACGGCCGCAAGGUUAAAACUCAAAGGAAUUGACGGGGCCCCGCACAAGCAGCGGAGCGUGUGGUUUAAUUCGAUGCUACACGAAGAACCUUACCAGGGUUUGACAUACAAGUGGUAGAGAGGCGAAAGCGGAUCGACCCUUCGGGGAGCUUGUACAGGUGCUGCAUGGCUGUCGUCAGCUCGUGUCGUGAGAUGUUCGGUUAAGUCCGCUAACGAGCGCAACCCUCGCUGUGUGUUACAAGUGUCACACGGAACUGCCGGUCAUAAACCGGAGGAAGGUGGGGAUGACGUCAAGUCAGCAUGGCCUUUAUAUCCUGGGCUACACACACGCUACAAUGGGAAGGGACAAUAGGUUGCGAAACCGCGAGGUGGAGCCAAUCCAGCAAAACUUCCCUCAGUUCAGAUUGCAGGCUGCAACUCGCCUGCAUGAAGUUGGAGUUGCUAGUAAACGCAGGUCAGCCAUACUGCGUUGAAUACGUUCCCGGGGCUU
rnacentral:rRNA from 1 species